UACGGGGGGGGCAAGCGUUGUUCGGAAUUACUGGGCGUAAAGCGCAUGUAGGCGGCAGCGCAAGUCGGGCGUGAAAUCCCACGGCUCAACCGUGGAAGUGCACUCGAAACUGCGCAGCUAGAGUCCUGGAGAGGAAGGUGGAAUGCUUGGUGUAGAGGUGAAAUUCGUAGAUAUCAAGCGGAACACCGGUGGCGAAGGCGGCCUUCUGGACAGUGACUGACGCUGAUGAGCGAAAGCUAGGGGAGCAAACGGG
rnacentral:rRNA from 1 species